AAUGGCCAGUUCUUGGUCCCUUUUGGAUCCCAGAUGCCAGCCCGUCCUGCUGCAGCCACCCUGAACCCCUGCCACUCACAGUAAGAGGAGGAAGCGUGAUGACAACGACGGGCUGCCAUGUGUCAAAAAGCCACGCAACGCCUGAAGCUAACGACGUGUCUAAGUGGCCGUCUUGAAGUGUGG